AGAUUGCUACUAGUAAUAUGAAGAUGCUUGACAUCUCUCUGUAUCUAUUAGAAAAGUAUGUGUAUGAAACUGUGGUUUCUCAUGAUGCCUACUAUUUUAGAGGAGAGGUGGAGUCUUUAUAUGAACAGUUAGUCCAUACCUAUAAAGGCGCAAGCUUGAACCAUGGUCUCAAAUCAGGUAGGAAGACCCGCUGAACUUAA
rnacentral:misc_RNA from 1 species